rnacentral:rRNA from 1 species
AUUGAACGCUGGCGGCAUGCCUUACACAUGCAAGUCGAACGGUAACAGGUCUUCGGAUGCUGACGAGUGGCGAACGGGUGAGUAAUACAUCGGAACGUGCCUAGUAGUGGGGGAUAACUACUCGAAAGAGUGGCUAAUACCGCAUGAGAUCUACGGAUGAAAGCAGGGGAUCGCAAGACCUUGUGCUACUAGAGCGGCCGAUGGCAGAUUAGGUAGUUGGUGGGAUAAAAGCGUACCAAGCCGACGAUCUGUAGCUGGUCUGAGAGGACGAUCAUCCACACUGGGACUGGGAAACGGCCAAGACUCCUGCGGGAGGCAGCAGUGGGGAAUGUUGGAGAAUGGGCGCAAGCCUGAUCCAGCAAUGCCGCGUGCAGGAUGAAGGCCUUCGGGUUGUAAACUGCUUUUGUACGGAACGAGAAGCCCCGGGUUAAUACCCUGGGGUCAUGACGGUACCGUAAGAAUAAGCACCGGCUAACUACGUGCCAGCCGCCGCGGUAA